GGUCUGUAGCUCAGUUGGUUAGAGCGCACCCUGAUAAGGGUGGUCGGCAGUUCGAAUCUGCCAGAGACCA
rnacentral:tRNA from 1 species